GGGCCCGCACAAGCGGUGGAGUAUGUGGUUUAAUUCGAUGCAACGCGAAGAACCUUACCAGGGUUUGACAUCCUGCGAAUCUCUUGGAAACGAGAAGGAUUCGCUUUCGGGGAAACGCAGUGACAGGUGGUGCAUGGCUGUCGUCAGCUCGUGUCGUGAGAUGUUGGGUUAAGUCCCGCAACGAGCGCAACCCACGUCUUUAGUUGCCAGCAUUCAGUUGGGCACUCUAGAGAGACCGCCGGUGAUAAACCGGAGAAGGUGUGGAUGACGUCAAGUCAUCAUGCCCCUUACAUCUGGGCUACACACGUACUACAAUGCUACGGACAAAGGGCAGCAAGUUCGCGAGGACAAGCAAAAUCCCCAUAAAACGUGGCUC
rnacentral:rRNA from 1 species